rnacentral:rRNA from 1 species
CACGUAGGGGGCAAGCGUUGUCCGGAUUCAUUGGGCGUAAAGGGUGCGUAGGCGGCGCGGUAAGUCGGGUGUGAAAUCUCGGAGCUUAACUCCGAAACUGCAUUCGAUACUGCCGUGCUUGAGGACUGGAGAGGAGACUGGAAUUUACGGUGUAGCGGUGAAAUGCGUAGAUAUCGUAAGGAAGACCAGUGGCGAAGGCGGGUCUCUGGACAGUUCCUGACGCUGAGGCACGAAGGUCAGGGGAGCAAACGGG